CAAGCAAAAUCAAAGGCAUCAUGUAGCUGGUUGCAUCUUUAAUCUUUCUGAAUUUGUGAAGAAAAAUUUGCGGUAAAGUCAUUUCCGCGUUACGUAUAUGUUUUAUAUGGAUAACAUUUGUGGAUUCUAAUGGAUUUUUCAAUGAAUUUGAGUUCGCAACGAUUUAGUAAUGGAUACUUCUGAUAUUUUCCGAUUUAUUUCAAUAGUUUAUCUCAAAUCAUAUUAAUAUAGCAAAGCUAUAAGAUUAAUAACAUGUUUAGUCAAAUAGUGACACGUCACUCGUCACACAGUUUUAAAUGUUCUGAUCCUUACUAUUUUUCUGUACGGAGGCUGAAAAAAGUUUCUUUUUGUAUUCAUUUGUCACGUCUCAUUCAAAUUUCAUGUUGAAGAUGCAUAUUCUGCAUCGCCAACAGAAAACAAACCAGAUUUUAAAGACCUUUGGCACAGCUAAAUAUAAAUCAAUGUAAAAUACUAUUAUUAUAUUGAUUUUUUUUAAUGUAACAAAAAUUUUUACACUCAUAUAGUGUAUAGUGCAACUGCAUUAUCGAUAAAGUUUUGCUUUAGAUAACUAUAUGAAAUGAUUAAUUGCAGCAUAUAUUUAAAAUUAUUUUAUUCCGAUUAUAUGCAGUCUGUGUUAGCUUUACAUAAAAAGUCUUUGUUGAAACGCAUUCAGGAAUGGUUAGGAUGAUGCAAAUGAGUUGAUGUUCGUGUGUUGAUACUGUUGUAGAUAAACUGGUCAUGUUUUCUUUAAUAUUACGUUAUUCUUACUUUACACAUAUUUCAUAGUAAUAAACUGGUCGUGUGUCUUAUUAUGUUGAAUUACACAAAGUACAUUUA